UAUUUUAGCUACUUUUGCACUGAGCAGUUGUUGUAAAUGUUAAUGUUAAUAGUGCAAUUCUCUGCAGCAUUUAGUAUCAAACCAGGAACAUUGCUUAGAUUGUUUACUGAGGAGUUACUUUCAAUGGUAACCGUGUGUCAUUGCUCUGUGGUAGAUUCCACUGACUCCUCUUCUACAACAUGGGCGACUGUUGCUGUUGUACGAGAAGAAGAAGGUACCGGAUGUGUUGCUAUAGAAGAUUCAACAUACCCCUCAGCAACAGUGGAGGACUUCCAACCUCCGUGAUGCUUAAUGGUAAGCAGGUCACCACCACUAUUUGCCAAGUGAGAGGCAGAGGAGCGACGAAAGCAGUGCCCCGAAAACAACUCGCUGUUCGGUAAUUGUAAAUAUUCAGCUAUUGCUUUUGGCAUCUUCCCGAUUUUAUUAAUCCCAAUAGGUUGUACUGUGCAACUUCCGUUUCGAUAAUUUAGGAAGAAACGAUUAGAAUUUAUGUGUGAUGGCCUCAGAUUGGUGGACGGAGAUUAAUAUGGAAUCUGCUUUAUACUCCACACCGUUAACCGACAUGUUGGUUAACUCUUCCCUUCUGCAGGCACCACAAUAU